GGCACUGGUCGAUAAGCCGGCGGGAUCAAGCCAGCGUAGCCUGCCUCCCUCCACAGUGCUCAGUCACCACUGGCUACUUGUGGAUGGCCCAAGGCCUCAGACGCUGGGGAGGGAAAAACAGGGCCCAGAACAGGCCCCCGAGUGUUGGUUCUCAGUCUCACUGAAGUCUGUGUUAAGACGCUGCAGGAACCAUGGAGUGGUCACAGCUUCUCAGAGUCACCUUUCCAAUGAAACUCUUCCAAAAGAAAGCUAAUUGAAUGCCAAUGUCAACUUUUCCUCUCAGAACCACAGACAGCACAGAUUUCCUGAUUGCAGAGGAUCUUGGCCAAGAAACCUGCUGAACCUUUCUGCUCACUUCCUGCAGUGGAAGGAACAGUUCCUCUAUGGUGGGCCUGGCAUUUGAGAUGAGAUUCUUGGAACAUUGUUCUUCUUCACCAUACCUGAGCCAGUGAAGGGGUUCCACCAUCGCUCCCCUCGGGCAGAUAAACCUGGUGACGGCUAGCAAGCAAGCAGCUUGUCCCUGGCCAGCCAGCCCCAGUGCAGGCCUACACGCAGGCUAGAGGAACUUAGCUGCUGUGCACGUCACAACCUGUCAACAGGAGCGUGACUGACCUCCCAGAGGAUGCAGAUGACCUCUGGGUCCUCUUCCCUCUGCAGAAUAUGGCAUCUGUGGACUGUGAUAUCUGCAGGGUGUCAAUCCCAGAAGCAGCUUUCACCACAUACCCAGGAAUGACUCUAUCCGAGCCAAGGAGAUGAUGACCAGAGAGCUGGGGACAGAGAACGGUCUUCGAUUAUUCAUCUGGCAAUGCGGUAGUAUCCAGAAAACAAAAGAAACUCAAGAAAUUUAAUAACAACCUGCUUGAAUAUGUAUGAGAGCUUUAGCUGACUAUCACUUAUGAAUAUCCUCCAAACCUUCAAAUAGAACGGGACACUUACUGUAAGAACUCACUGUUAACAUCAGCAAGAUACUCACUGAUGGGAGCAACUUCCACACAUCUCAUCUGCCAUACACGUUGGGGUCAUCUCCACUCACUCUCUCUAGGACAGCGCUUCUUGGCUGUCACUAAUAACUUCCAGCCAAAUGACAGGAGAGCGAGAAGGAGGGCUGGCUGAAGUGGGGGAUGGCACAGACCUCUGGGAGCAGACUGAACUUCUGAACUCAGCUUGGCUAGGAGACCUCAAGCCUCCCACCCAACCUAACCUCCAGCUGUCAAGACCUCCAUCCUGACUGGAAUUACAAUCAGUAUUUUCAGCUUUGCAGCCCUUCUGGAGAAUGUUCUACAUUUGAUAGGCCUUGUGGUCUCGGCAAGGAAGAGUGUUUUAAGUGGGGGGAGAAGCUUUUGGAGAGCGGCUGAAGAGUCGUGGAGAGAGAAGAAAAGAAAGCACUAUUG